AACGGUGGAGCCUGCGGUUUAAUUGGAUUCAACGCCGGAAAUCUCACCGGGGCGACAGCAAUAUGAAGGUCAGGCUGAAGACCUUACCCGAUUAGCUGAGAGGUGGUGCAUGGCCGUCGUCAGUUCGUACUGUGAAGCAUCCUGUUAAGUCAGGCAACGAGCGAGACCCACGUCCACAGUUGCCAGCAUACCCUCCGGGGUGAUGGGUACACUGUGGAGACCGCCGCUGCUAAAGCGGAGGAAGGAGUGGGCAACGGUAGGUCAGUAUGCCCCGAAUCUCCCGGGCUACACGCGGGCUACAAUGGUUGGUACAAUGGGCAUCUACCCCGAAAGGGGAAGGAAAUCUCUUAAAGCCAAUCGUAGUUCGGAUUGAGGGCUGCAACUCGCCCUCAUGAAGCUGGAAUCCGUAGUAAUCGCGUUUCAACAGAACGCGGUGAAUACGUCCCUGCUCCUU
rnacentral:rRNA from 1 species